AAUUAAUUUACCAAAUUUGACCCACCAUUGAACGGUUUCAUUUCUCUCUCUAACAGCCACUUCUCUCUCUUAACUUCAUCGUCCCCCCAUUUCUGUUUCCUCCAUUUCUCAGAAACAGGGGUUAAGGUUAACCCAAUUUACGACCCGAUUCUAUCCCAUAUCCGACCCGUUUCCCUGCGUAAUCACCUCGACACCAAUCUAUGAUGCCCUAGUUCUUGGGGGCAUCAUCAUCUUCAACAGUUCCUCUUUGAUUCUUACAAAUUUCUGGAAGAAAUCAACAUUUUGGGAUCGUUUUUUGGGGACGCAUUUGGUUGAUUUCUCGAGAUUAGAGAGACAAUUGGUGGGUGCCAUUUAUUUUGCAGAUUGAUGAACCCUAGCUAUUUAUGCCUGAUUGUAAAUUUGGUGAAGAUUUUGCUUAAUUGAAGGAAAAACCCAGAUGUCAGGAGGAUUUGGUGAGUUGAUUUGGAUGAAAGGGGUUCAAAUGAAGGUAAAUGGGUUUUGAAGAUUCAUAUAGUUGACACCAAAUUAGCUUUGUAUUGAGGUUUAACGAUUGAUUUGCUCAUGUAUGGAUCCUUCAUUGUUAAUCUUAACCUUUUUGGGUGUUUGCUUUUGCUUCCUUGCUCUUGCCGUGCAAUCUCAGCAAAAUGUGAGUCCUCCUUCUCCGCCGCCGCCGCCGUCUAACCAAUCUCCUCCUCCACCGCCUCCACCACCAUCACCAGGGCCUCCUCCUCCUCCAUCCCAGCAAAAAUACCAUUCUCCACCACCAACUAAAUCUGUGAAUUCUGCGACCACCUCGGAGAGUAAACACUCUAAUCAUGAUAAAAAACACCAUAACUCUUACGGGAAAUCGCAUCAACCAGCAAAGAAAAAGAAGCCAAAUUUGGGGAAGAAACUGGGGUUAGUGUUUGUGGGUGUUGCUGGGAUGUUGCAGGUGUGUGUGGUGGCGUUCUUGCUAAUAAAGAGAAGACAAUUGUUAAAGGCUGGUAGUAGAUUUUGAAUGAACAUUUGAAUAUGGAUGUAUAUCAGUUAGUCUAAUUAAUUCAGAAUUUUACGAGACCGCGAAAGGCAAUGAACACGGCAUUGAUGAAUUAGAAGCAUUGGGUUCAUCUGACAUGUAGAUUUCUGCAUUUGCAUUGGUGGCUACUGUAAAUUUGGUCUCAAAGUUGUAAGAAUGAUAUCUUGCUUCGUUUGUCAAUUUUAAGGAACUGUACUGGAUUUGUUCUGGAGAACAUAGUGUUACGUCUUCUCUGUCCGGUGAGUAAAAAAUGUAGGGAAACGAGCAUACUGUUGAUGAAGGCAUGACCUGUCAUCGUCGCAACUGAAAUAUGAUUUCUAAUGUAGAGGUUUAACACUGUAAAACUCUUUUAACUGUUGGUAUAGUCUAACUGUUGCAUCUGAUAUGAAAACUUUCUAAUACGCUGGCAAAAUAAUAUCUACCUUGAUUCUUGAAUAAUGUUGCUUUAUUGCGUUAUAAUAUCUAUCUACAUAGUAAAAACAUAUUUCUUAUGUUGAACGUGCAAAAACAUGAGUUGCGAAGUUGAGUAACCUGAGAUUUCAGGUUCAAAACUCAGCGGAGACAAAAAAAUACUAGGUGAUUCUUCCCAUUUGUUCUUGCCUUUGUGGACACAGUUACCUGGUACUUGAUAUCUGUUGUUGUGGAAUUAGUAGAAGUGCGCAAAAGCUGGUCCGAACACCAGAGUCAUAAAAAAAAAGUUGCAAGGCUAGGACCACUGAAAAAAUGUUAUCUUUAGUCUGAAAAUAUGUUCCUCUUUGGUGUGAGCAUGUUUCUUUUUUGACAUGAUAAUAUGAAGGAUUGUCAUUUUCCCUCUUUUUUUAAGUCGAAGGUCUAUACAAGAUGACGUAUCUACCCCACAAAGGUGAGGGUGACACUUGCGUACAUUUUACCUUCUUUCGACUCCACUUAUGGAAUUACAUUAGUGUUUGGAUAAGCUUUCGCAACUUGACUAAUUUCAUGGGAUACUGUCAACCAAGGGCGGACCCACAAGUAAGGCACGGGAUUCGGG